GCCUGCAAAGAGUAAACAGCUCUUGGACAUGAGAACUGUUAUUAAAAUGGGUUGUUUUGUUGGCAGAAGUGGCUUUCACUGUUGCCAUAGAUUGCCCAAGGUGAGCCUGACCUCUGUGGUCUCUCUGAAGCUCUCUUAUGGGUGAGCUGAGCAACACUGGAAUGCAGCUUUGAAGGAUUAGCUGAGCCCAACAAAUACAGGAAACUGUACUGAGAAAGUAAUACUACAUUGCACAACAAAGGAAAAAACUUAUCUUCUGAUCCCCUAGGAUAAAAGUUCCAAGGCUGAGAACUUGACUAUGUGAUAGGGCCUUACUCAGCUUGCAAUUGCAGCAUAAUCAUGCUUGCAGCCUUCUCUCAGGGCAAAAUUCUGCCUUUGCAGGUGCUGGAAGGGACAGUGGAGAAGCAGCUGUGUGGCCAACAGACAGAGAUGGGACUGUGCUCUCCUGAGGAACAACAAUGAGGACUCUUGCCAAGGAGUAAGCAGCUGUCUCCUGGAGCCACAGCAGAGCCUCAAGCUGCAGAAUGCACCUCUUCGACAUGUGCUUGUGGUUUCUCAAGCAGAGCCAUAGAGAUGCUCUGCACCCACAAAAACAUCUGAUCCACUGAACACCACUGCAGCCUUUUGUGGAACAGGAAAAUACCUCCAUCUUCCAGACCAGCAUAUCAACAGCGUCUGAGGCCACGUUUGCAAGAAGACAUUGGGAACACCUCUCUGGCGAAAGGGAGCAGAGGACAGGGACUGAGGCACCCCUGAACAAACCAGCUCUAGAUUGAGAAGCCACGUACCAGCCCCACAUGGGACCAGAGCCAAGCUGUGCUGCUCACAGACAUCUGGUUACAAGCUCAG